rnacentral:rRNA from 1 species
UCUACGGGAGCAGCAGUGGGAUAUGACAUGGGCGCAGCUGAUCAGCAUGCCGCGUGAGUGAUGAAGCCCUAGGGUGUAAAGCUCUUUGUGCGGGAAGAUAAUGACUGUACCGCAAGAAUAAGCCCGGCUAACUUCGUGCCAGCAGCCGCGGUAAUACGAAGGGGGCUAGCGUUGCUC